GUUACAGAUAUAGGGAGCUGUAAAUCAGCCAAGAAUGGUGUAGGGGGGUCGGUAGAGACUAGCUGAGGUGUGAUUGGUGUAGGCAACGGUGACAGUUGACAGGGUUUCCAGUCUGUGUUGAUGGAGACAGGAAACGAUACGGGUCAGGAUAGAGAGGGAGAGUUCAGGUAAUGGUCUGGGUUGGUGGAGACAGGAUAGAGAGGGAGAGUUCAGGAUAGAGAGGAAGAGUUCAGGUUAUGGUCUGGGUUGGUGGAGACAGGAUAGAGAGGGAGAGUUCAGGUUAUGGUCUGGGUUGGUGGAGACAGGAUAGAGAGGGAGAGUCCAGGUAAUGGUCUGGGUUGGUGGAGACAGGAUAGAGAGGAAGAGUUCAGGUUAUGGUCUGGGUUGGUGGAGACAGGAUAGAGAGGGAGAGUCCAGGUAAUGGUCAGGGUUGGUGGAGACAGGAUAGAGAGGAAGAGUUCAGGUUAUGGUCUGGGUUGGUGGGGACAGGAUAGAGAGGGAGAGUCCAGGUUAUGGUCAGGGUUGGUGGAGACAGGAUAGAGAGGAAGAGUUCAGGUUAUGGUCUGGGUUGGUGGAGACAGGAUAGAGAGGAAGAGUUCAGGUUAUGGUCAGGGUUGGUGGAGACAGGAUAGAGAGGGAGAGUCCAGGUUAUGGUCAGGGUUGGUGGAGACAGGAUAGAGAGGAAGAGUUCAGGUUAUGGUCUGGGUUGGUGGAGACAGGAUAGAGAGGAAGAGUUCAGGUAAUGGUCUGGGUUGGUGGAGACAGGAUAGAGAGGAAGAGUUCAGGUUAUGGUCUGGGUUGGUGGAGACAGGAUAGAGAGGGAGAGUCCAGGUAAUGGUCUGGGUUGGUGGAGACAGGAUAGAGAGGGAGAGUCCAGGUUAUGGUCUGGGUUGGUGGAGACAGGAUAGAGAGGGAGAGUCCAGGUUAUGGUCUGGGUUGGUGGGUACAGGAUAGAGAGGGAGAGUUCAGGUUAUGGUCUGGGUUGGUGGAGACAGGAUAGAGAGGAAGAGUCCAGGUUAUGGUCUGGGUUGGUGGAGACAGGAUAGAGAGGAAGAGUUCAGGUUAUGGUCUGGGUUGGUGGGUACAGGAUAGAGAGGGAGAGUU